UCAGCCAAGAAGGUAACUUGUUAAGCAAGUCUAGGCUCUAGGAUGGGUGUUUUGAUUUUAUGUUGGAUGUAACCAUCCAUUUGUUGCCAGCACAUCUACAUGCUAUUACGUGAAUCUCUGGGCUUUGUUAAAUAACCGUAUCCUUAAUUUCACUAUAAACAAAUGCAAGUGCUGUGAGUUAAAUGGAGUUGGGAGCUGAGCUGGAACUGGUAAACUGGGGGCUCACUGCUUCUUUGGAAGCCGCUGAUGAAGCUGGUGAAUGCAGCAAGUGUCCAGUGGCUCAGGGGUUUGGGCCAGUUCCUUGGGGCAGAAGCCAACAUUCAUUGUGUGUUACAGUAGCAUCUACAGGUGCCCCAGACAAUGUGCGAGGAGAGAGCGCUCGUCAAGACCAAGGAAAGAGGAAAGAGAAGAUGUAAUGGCUGCACAUCAGAUCCCUGAAGCUGCAGCUAGAAGCUUCUAGCCAGACCAGCGCGACAGGCUCUCGGGUCAGAGCACCCACUCAGUUGCAGGUUGAAACAAGAUGGGCGGCAUUUUUACAUCUCAGGUGGAUCUGGAAAAGCUGAAGAACGAGGAGGCAGCGAAGAAGAGACAGCACGAGGGCGAGGAGGCAGAGAAGAAUAGACAGCACGAGAUGGAAGAGAGGCAGCGAGAGAGAGCAUGAGGACCGUGAAAGAGAGCGACAGCACAAGGAACGCAUGCACCAGAGAGAGCUUAAAGACAAGGCCGAGGAAAGAGAGGCCCAGCGCCAGAUGCAAGAGAGAGAGUAUGAGGCCCGGCGCCAGAUGCAAGAGAGAGAGUAUGAGGAGCAAGAGAAGAAGAGGAAGCACGAGGAGAAAAUCAUAAAGCUGCAGAUCAAAAAAUUGAAAUUGCAAAUUCUCUGCAACACUAACCUCUCAUCCAGUAAGAAUUCCCCAAAGGGCAAUCUUCUCCAAGAUAUGCUCUCAUCCAUCACAUGCCCCACUAUGUCUGAUGCUGUUGAGAAUGGUGAUGACAGCAGUGACGACGAUGUUGAUGACAGUUCAAGAUAGAGAACCCUCCAUUCUUAACCCUUCUGAACGGAGGAACUGUGAUGCUCGAUGUAUUGUCGCCUAACCUGCCACCAAGGACAUAGUCCAUUUCUCCUCUCACCUUCCCUUCCCCUUUGGAAUGCUUUUCCCACCCAGGAGUUUAUUUCUGACUUUUCCUUUUGCUUUUCUGAGUCCUACUUAUUGGCAGUGCUAAUAAAGACAUAAGCGACA